rnacentral:ribozyme from 1 species
GAAGGAAAAAAGAAAACAAAAGGAAAAAAAAAAAAAAGGGAAAAAAAGACAACCACACGUCGAAACUCGAGCAGACAGGGCAACUGCUACCUAGUUUCUUCUUACUAGUUUCUCUUAUUUUUUUAUUUUUUCGUUUUCUCUACCCCU